rnacentral:rRNA from 1 species
UACGAAGGGGGCUAGCGUUGCUCGGAAUCACUGGGCGUAAAGGGUGCGUAGGCGGGUCUUUAAGUCAGGGGUGAAAUCCCGGAGCUCAACUCCGGAACUGCCUUCGAUACUGACGAUCUUGAGUCCGGGAGAGGUGAGUGGAACUGCGAGUGUAGAGGUGAAAUUCGUAGAUAUUCGCAAGAACACCAGUGGCGAAGGCGGCUCACUGGCCCGGUACUGACGCUGAGGUGCGAAAGCGUGGGGAGCAAACAGG